UUGGCUUUUUAAUGAUUUCAAUUUAAAAUGAACAGGUUAAAUUAAUUAAUAUGCAGUCCCAGGCUGGAUGGUAAAGAAAUCUUGGUAGUUAUAAUAAUAGAUAAACAUUUUUUUUAGAUAAACGUUCUCAUUUUAGAUUUUAAAAAACAUAUUUUAAUUUCGACUUACAAAAAAAAAUAGCAACAUGAGCAUAGAUUAACGUAGAAUGGAAACUUCUGGUUUCAUUUUUACACCUAUGUCACACCUUGAACAAUGACCAGUGUGUGGUAAAGGUUCUGUCGCUGGAAGAACAGGAAGCUCGAAGCAAAUGCACACAGUAUACUGAAUGUCUCAAAUGUAUUAUCGUGCUAGACAAAUUAUGUUUGUCCAGAUUAUCCAUACAUUUGUGGUACUUUAUCUCAAUAUAUGUAAGUGACAUUUUAACCUGCAAAAAUAUUUUAUUUAGAAAGCAGCAAUAGGCUUUUAAAACCUUGAAAAAUACCAUUAUGCAUUUUAAGUCAGUGGCUUGUUUUUUAAACUUGGUGUGAAUGCUUUUGUUUCUUUAUUUCAGAUUUUACUCACUGUACAGUUCUUCAUCAGCCUGACUCUGUUAUCCCAGUUGACCUUGGUGCCAAUGUGAAUCUGCAGUGCUUUUUUGCAGAAAACUUCAGCAUGUACGACAUGUUUUGGUACAAGCAAAUCGAGGGCCAGCAGCCAUGUGCUGUUGUUAAGGCGGGAGCUGUUGCUGAUCCUAUUUUUCAUAAAUAUAUUAAUAUAAAUAUAUGGAUAUAUGAACACUCGCUUCAAUGUCAUCAGGUCAAAGAAAAGACUUUCUCUUAGUAUCAUUAACAUUAGUCACUGGGAUGAGGCGAUCUAUUACUGUGGAGGGGAGAUUUUCUUUGAUACUGAGUUUGGAAAUAUAGUAUUUGUGACGUUAAAUAUAUCUUUUCUUAACUCUACAGGUGAGUUUUUGUUUCAUGAGCUGAAAACCCAAUAACAUCGAAACCAAACCAGAUAUAUUUGUAUUUCUUAAAGGGUUAGUUCAUCCAAAUACCAAAAUUAUGUCAUUAAUAAUUUACCCCCAUGUUGUUCCAAACCUGUAUGACCUCCAUUUAUCUUCGGAACAGAGUUUAAGAUAUUUUAGAUUUAGUCCGAGAGCUCUCAGUCCCAACAUGAGGGUAAAUUAUUAAUGACAUAAUUUUGCUAUUUGGGUGAACUAACCCUUUAAGUUUAUAAGUUUGCAUGUAAGAGUAAUUUUAAGUCAUAAAAUGAAUAUUAACUGUUCUGCUUGUUUUGCAGCUUCAAAUCCAACAGAGAGAGAUUAUCGUUAUCAGUCGUUAUCUUUUAGUGCAACAUUAUUGGAAUAUCUGUCAUGUGGAUCAUAUGUCUGUUAAUCAGGAUUAAACAACAAAAGGCUUUAUCUCCAGUUUAUUCCAUCUCCAGUUAGCGUCAUAGAGGAAACACACCCGUCCACAUUGAAAUGUCGGACACAAAAGAGUCACACAUCCAGUUUUUGAUGCCAAUAAAGAUCAAGAAGCUUGAGGGGACAAUGAUGCACAAUAAAAUGAGGAUAAUUUGAGACUGAAACAUCUUGGUCAAAAAGAGGAACAAUUGGCUAUAUUCCUUUAACAUAACACAUUUGUAACAAUUACUGUAUAAGUACUGUAUAUUUGAUAAUUCAGCAUAGUUUUCAGUAGAAUUUAAAAUUUGAAUAAAUGAGCAUUGGCAACUU